CCACGACCGUAAACAGUUUUCCAAACAAGGUUUUCUUAUACUCUCGCAUGAUUUUAGGCAUUUCCAACAUCUAACAUUUAGCUGCUUCCCCUAUGAAAAACGUCACAUCGAAAUAAAGUUUUAGCGUUAUGGAAUAUAUUUUGCAUUCACUUGUUUUGUUAAAUUGAACUUUGUUUUGUUUUGUCAAGUCAAAUUUUGUUUUGUUAAAGUCAACGUCAGAUUAUAAAGUAGAAGUUGUAGAUCAUUUGCAUGGAUUAAUAUUGGAUUAGUUGCAUGUGCAUGAUAGGUAAUGGUUGUUGUGUUAUAUUUAUGCUACAAGGUACAACAGUAGCAAUGUUCCAAUUUUGUUAUGAGAAAGCAUUAGGGGCGGACCAUUUGAUUUUCGAGGGGGGAGGUGGAAGAUUCAAUCUGUGCAAGAAUUUUUUUUCCGCCCAGGCGAACGAGACAGAUAUUUUUUUCCUGUAAAAGUGCAGCGCAAGAUAUUUUUUCCCAAUAUAUUUG